CACACCACUCCCCAGGGGCGGCCCCCGGUGGACUGCCCAGCCUGGCCCUGACCUGCCUGGCCCAGCCUAGCCCUGGGAACCCCAGGCAAGGCCUUCAGAUACAAGCCAGGGUACAUCCAACAUGGUGGGGAACGUGAGGGGAGAGAAGGAAUGGCCAGUACGCUCCUGAAGCCAUGACUAGGGAAGAUGUCCCAGAACACCCACAAGCCCAGAAACACAAAAACAACAACACACAGGCCCAAAUGCAUGCAGACCCAGACAUGUAGAGACUGUUGAUAGAAUGGAAAUUUGGCUUUGGAACCAGAGGAGGCUUUGGGUGGCAUGCCACUUCUCACUAAGCCUCACUCUCCUCAUCUGUACAAUGGGGGUAAUGGUAUCACCACCUCCCUGGGCUGGUUGUGAGAUGAAAUACUGCAUGCCCAGAGAUCCUGGCAAACCUAAAAGCUUACAUAAAUGUCUGCUCUUCCUAUUAUUACUGCACCCCCAGACGCAUUUGCACUCCCCCACCCCCCACAAUGUGGCCAUGUGCACUCAGCACACAGGCCCAGCUGUGCUAGCUCCCAAUCCCUCCCACAUCUGGCCAGCUCCCUGGCUCCAGGCACAUUCCCACGGACACGUGCCCGAGUUCCCCAGAGGACCGGAGCCCAGGCCCCAGGCUGCCCCUGCCAGCGUCAUCAGAACCCACCCUCACAUCCACACCCACACCCCCUCCUCUCUCAACGGGCUGGCCCGAGGCUCGGGGAUAGCUCCGUGGGAUGGGCUGCAGGAGGGAGGGGGCACCUGGCCUCCUCCUGCAAGAAGCCCUCCGAGAAUGACCCCCUGACUCCUGGCAGCGGACAGUGUGGUGCCCACGGUGGGAGACCGGACAGCCGGCUUCUGAAACUCCCUAAAUGUGUGCCCGUGGGCAAAUCUCCUCCUCUCUGGACACCCUGAUGCUCACACGGGACCGAGAACCGGAAGGAACCCUUCAUUUUUACACAGAAAAAAGUAAGCAGGAGCAGUGGUUUUGAGCCCUGGACUUCUGACCCCAUGACCAGUGCUCCGGCUACCUCACAGGGUUGUGAGAAAAGUACUUUGUAAACAGCCUAAGGAACCGAAGCGAGGACAGGACUUCUUCAGAAUAGUAACCCACAUUGAUGUCCAGAAUGCCUGCAGUAUUUGCAAAGCACAGGAUAGAGGGAAAGGUUCAGUGAAUUUCCCAUGGUCAUAAACCUGUGUCAGAGGCACUCCCUCCUAACUGCAGAUUCAGCUUUUUCUGGGACCCCAAAUGCAUCCCUUAUCAUCAGCAUUCCUGGGAGGAAGCAGGUACCCAAGACUUUGGUGUUAGCUUCCCUUGUCCUGAAAAGGGGGUACAUGGAGGUAAUGCUGGGGGACAUGGGGCAUAGGUACCCUACUGAGAAGAGAACAGGGCUGGGGGCUUCUGGAAUCAGAAGAAGGGAGUCUCUGGGGGGAAGUGGCUGGAAGUUCGGUAAAGCAACCUUCUGGAGGAAGGGUCUGGGUCCCCGAGUCUUGUAGGAAGCCUGUCUAGAGAUGCCUAGCUUCCAGGGCCUGCCUUCGGCAAAAGUCCAUGGCUCUCCCUUCUCAGGCAGCAGAAGACUCCCAAACCCUUGGUUCAUGGGUCAUUGGAGGUCAAGCUGGAAGGGGCCAUAAACUGGAAAGACCAACCCUGCCCCCCAUCUGACAGAUCAACAAAUGGAGGAAGAAACUUGCCAAAGAUGGUAGUAUCACAAAGCUGGAUGCAAAGUAAAGGUACAUGUCAUUGAGCCCAGGAACUAGAAUCUUUGCUGGAGAAAGAUUCAGACUUUGGCCCCUGACUCUAACUC
rnacentral:lncRNA from 1 species